UGGGUUUGAGAGCUCUUUUUUGUCUGCGGUUCUCUGCUUUCUUUGCGGGAGGAAGGAAGGAAGGGGUCGGUAGAGGAGGACAGGACGGACGCGCACGCGUAAAAGUGUGAUUUGGGGGUUAGGUUGGACGGCGCCGAGCAGCGUCUAGCCGUCUCGUCAGGUGGCGGCGGCGCCUCCACCACUAGUAAGAAAAAUAGCCCUCCACAUGUAGACGAACCGGAGACCGUCAUCGACGUCAAUGGUUGUCAGCUCUCAAGAGUACCGGUUCAGAGUACUCUGUUGCUCAUCCUUUGGAGGACCGGAGGCCAAUAAGUUUCCACGGUUCCGAGAUUCUUUAAUGGUCUGCGAGCAGAACCAGGAAUGUAAGAACCGUAUGUGAACGAAGGUAUACUGAGCCUUCUAUUGUUCGUAACAGUUCUCACUCGAACUAGGGGUCUGUUUUCACCCCAGACGGACCCCUGCUAACGUGUGUGCGCUGUCAGAGUUGUAACCAACCAGAGGUAAAUUGUGGAGACUACCAAGGUGAAACGAACCACUCUAUCUACAGCGUAAGGAACGCCACAUAAGAGAACCCUACAAGAAGCGGCCCGUAGAACCACUGGCGUACCUGAACUCCUAACAAGAUUGUUAACCGUACUAACCGUGGCGGUAUAAGUGACGCGAGAAACCACGACCUAUAACCGAUUUAUAAGUGUUGAAGAUGAUGAAAGACCAGAAAGUCUACUAACGACCGAAUAAAGUUAGUAGACCUACCGGAAGUCAGCAACGUCAACAACCAUUGACCAAACCCUUCUCGUUCUCCCCUAACUAAUACCCAUAUACCUUGCGUGUAUGAAGAUAACCUUUGUAUAGGCCAAGAGACGAACGACGUAGAGACGACUUUAAACCUACCCCCACCAGUAAACGGUAGGGGUCGUAGUAGUACCGAGAACGACCCAACCACCACAAGAAAAAGAACGGCCAAUCAGGACUACAUUACCUCUACCUAUAACUACUACACCUCCAUUUGAGCCUGUUCCUAUGACGUUUCCUCGGGGAAAACCUUGGUCCGGUUCUUCACUUUGUAUUCCGUUAACCUAAGAACCUCCGUACCUCCUAAGGACCUCAACGUGGCAAACGAGAGACGGAGAAGAAGAGGUUCAACCAACGUAUGUGGAAGGACAUGACCGAUGGAAAGAUGUAGUCGGUAUGUGGAUAACCGUUGCUCAUGGAGAGACUACGCUACCGACCGUCGAACAGUUGUCAGAAGCUACAACCUCCACACAACCCUCCUCAGGAACGGCCAGUGUAGAGACUAGCGAAUUUACGUGCUCGUUAGUGCCGACGCUCGAAGUACAUGACACGGUGUGGACGGGAAAAGAACAUGUCUUGUAUACCUUCGUACAGCUACUACAACUUAUAAACGGAGUACAAGUAGUGACCGUACAAACAGUUACCAGGAAUACGGGACUAGUGUUGGCGUCAUAGUCGACUGGAACCGUGAGUGUCGAGUACCUUACCAUUAAGAGCCCGUGACCGGUGACACUGUCGUUAGUAACUACCCUGGCCCAGCCAACCACGGCGCUAGCCCGGUAACGAGUGUCCUAUGUAGAGUUGUCUCUCGACCUCACGGCACAAGUGUUACAACUACCGUCGUCGUGAAGAACGACCCGAGGAGAACUGUGUAGAACAGACACGACUCGAUUCUCCUUUCGACAGAAGGUUACCCUCGUUCCAACAGCGGUUACGUGUUUGAUGGACGAGUCUGGUUCAUAUUCUAACAUUCAUACCAGACAUUCUACACCAUAAUACGUGACCUUUGUAAAAAACAUCAAGGUAGUGGAAGAACCAGCUGUAGUCAUACUCAGACUUUAUUCGACUUCCUACCCCAAAGGCUCACUGAACGAGACAUGUUUGAGGUCCUUACUGAUCGUCUCCUAUCUUUUCAACACAGCUCUAAAAAAUAAAUCUGUUCUACCUCCACUUUUGUGGUUUUCAAAGACUCGGGUGUAUCAAAGAAAAGGGAUCACGGAACAUUUAUGCUUAACCCGUUAUUCAAACCCGGACACAAACGAACAUAGUGACGUAUAAAUUCGAACAUGCGUACACUAACGACAAAUCCCAUCUAUAUUCUUUUAGAGGGAGAUGUUCUACUCUAGGCUCAGAUAGACGACCGGUAGAACUAGGGGAAAACAUGAACAUUUAUAUAGCUCAACUAUUUUAAACCUUAACUCUAGGGUGUAGGGUCCCUUUACAACCAGGUUCUUUCAUUUACCACAUGACUAAUAAACAAGUAUACG
rnacentral:rRNA from 1 species